GGCGCCAUCGUCUAGCCUGGUUAGGACGCAGGGUUUUCAACCCUGUAACACGGGUUCGAAUCCCGUUGGCGCUA
rnacentral:tRNA from 1 species